rnacentral:rRNA from 1 species
AGGACGAACGCUGGCGGCGUGCUUAACACAUGCAAGUCGAGCGGAAAGGCCCUUCGGGGUACUCGAGCGGCGAACGGGUGAGUAACACGUGAGUAACCUGCCCUAGGCUUUGGGAUAACCCUCGGAAACGGGGGCUAAUACCGAAUAUUCAUUCUGGAUGGCAUCAUCUGGUGUGGAAAGUUUUUCGGCCUGGGAUGGGCUCGCGGCCUAUCAGCUUGUUGGUGGGGUGAUGGCCUACCAAGGCGACGACGGGUAGCCGGCCUGAGAGGGCGACCGGCCACACUGGGACUGAGACACGGCCCAGACUCCUACGGGAGGCAGCAGUGGGGAAUAUUGCACAAUGGGCGGAAGCCUGAUGCAGCGACGCCGCGUGAGGGAUGAAGGCCUUCGGGUUGUAAACCUCUUUCGACAGGGACGAAGCGCAAGUGACGGUACCUGGAGAAGAAGCGCCGGCCAACUACGUGCCAGCAGCCGC